rnacentral:lncRNA from 1 species
CAGCAACCAAAGUGGGCGUGGCCUGCCUCCUGCGGGGAGCACAAAGCUGUCUUUGCUGGAAUGGAAAGAGAUCUUGUUGUAAGAGGAGCGUUGGAUGAACCAGCCCCAACCCAGGGUCUAGAGUUUGAGGAGUGACAAGGGCAGAUCUCUAAGGAAGCGAAACUCCUCUGAGACCCGACAGGGAACCAGCUUCCUCGAGGAACCUGAGUGAAAGGAGGACCUGUCACCUGAGCCUCCUCAGGUCAUCCAUCGUCCUCGAAGGAUCCAUCCUGAGGCAUCAACUGAAAAUUAUGGCUCCUGAGAAAGAAUAAAGCACACUGUUCACUGCCAGGAUGAGUGUCCCUGUGGCAGCAUCUAGAGCUUGCCUGUUGCUCCUGCUAACGACCUCUGUCCCCCGUGUGGCCCUUUCUUUCUGUCACUUCUGUAGCUGUACUGUUGACAACUCUUCUCUAGGUGUCUCUGAAGCCCUGAAAGGCCUCUCAGCUUGGCAUGGCCCCCCGCCCCGCCCCAGCUCGCUCUCUUGAUGCCCAUGUGUGUGACUUGACAGCAUUCCUGCCUUGCUGGCCCACUGCCCCACUCCAAGGAAGGACGCUCUCAAGGUCCAGGUCCCUGGCAGUGUCAGGGCAACAUCAGUGGAAUGAGAACCCUGCUGAGCACAUGGGGCAGCUGUUUCCGUGGGACCUGCUGUCCUGACCUGGGAGUGCCAUGCUGGGGACAUGCUGAGGACCACAGGUGAUUUGAUGUAGGAGGUGCAGGAGUGGCCUCCAGGGGCACAGCCCACCUCCACUGACCCCCUGGCUCCCUGAGGCAGAGACACGGGUGCAGAGCUGGCCUAUCACAUGCUCUUUCCUGGUACCCUGAGUUUUUGGGUGAAUGAAGAAAAGGAGGGAGGAGAGAGAGGGUGGUGACUCCUCCAGGGGACAUGCCCCAGGAUCUGAGCUUAGGGUGGAGCUGCUACGCCCUGGCCACCAUGGCUUCUGGUUUUCCAACCUGGUCUCCCCACCCUGUGAAGAGCCCACUAUCACACAUUGUCCUGGC